CCCACGGUGAUAGUGGGACAAAAACAGAUGUGGUAGCAUAUUAAAGUGACAAUGGUGGUCAGGAAAAAGUCCCCCUGAGAGACGCCGCCCUAACUGGCUCUGGCUCUUGAAGAAUAGAAAGAACCUAGUCUCACAAAAAAAAAAAAAAAAACUAUAGCAAAGGUCCAGAGAACAGCCAUUGCAAAGCCCCUGAGGGCAGCAUGUGUGUUGCAGGCCUGAGGAACAGAAGAGUACGUGACUUCAGCAUCAUGCAGAAGGAAAGUGGAGACAAAGGGUGAAGACAGGUUAUACGCCAUGGCUGCUCUCCUCACAGCCCCAAGAGCAUUGCCAGAUCAAUGUCUUUGCCUUCUGGACUUGACACCAGGUCUCUGUACCCUGAACUCAUCUUCACUGAGCCUUGCCUUUGCCCCUGGGAAAUGCUCCCACCGCGGUUGGCCUCAGGCUGGGGCUGCUACGUCUCUCCUCUGAGCUUCCUAUUCAAUCAGUACAUCGGAACAUAGAUCCAUGAUGAAAAUGUCUGGUUUUAAGUCAAAACUCCAGUUCAAGUUCUGAGCGCACUUACGCUCUUGGCAAAAUUACUUUCCACAUCUGACCUCCAUUUCUCCGUCUUCCCUACAGCGAGAGGAGGGAUGGUGAUAGCAACAGUAGUAGCGCUCCACAGAAUUUUCAUGAAGACAAAACAUCCUUCUCAAAGCUCCUGGUCCACAGAAAACACUCCCCACACAGGAGCAGGUGUGUUAUCAACAGUGUUGUUAACAGCAGAGAAGAACCAGUUUACAGUGAGGACUUGAGGUUCAACAUUUAAAAUCUAAGAACGCAGGUCAGGCAUGGUGCCACACACCUGUAAUCUCCGUACUGGAGAGGUUGUGGCAGGAUGAUUGCAAGAUCAAGGCCAGCCUGAACUAUAGAAAGAGACCUUAGCUCAAUUUCUUUUUUAAAUCUACAAACCCAGAGAAAGGUAACAGCACACUUUUAUGACUACAUAAGAAAAGCUGGAGUCACUGCAGUCCCCGAGGGGCAGAAGGGCUGGGGGGUUACUCAGUGGUCAGCAUCACUGUGUGCAUUUGUUAAAAGAACAAGUUGCUCCAUCUCACAGCAGACAUGCCUGCUAAGGGGAGAGAGCAGGCAUUCAAGGAAACAGAAUAGAAUUCUGGGGCUGGUGAGACAGGCAAAGGAACCUGACAUGCUGUUUGAUCCCUGGGACCCACAGGCUCCAAGGACAGAGCUGACUAUGGCAAGUUGUCUUCUGAAAACAAUUCUGAUGCUGAGCUGGGCUGGAGUGAAGAUUUCCACAACAAAAUAAAGAUGAUUGUGCACUCCCAACACUGAAUCCCAGAAAAAUCCAUCAAAUGCUGUAAAGGAGACGACAGAAGAAAAGACAUUAAGAAUGACUAAAAUCAAGAAGUGCCGGUUUCCUGAUCCUGAGUUAGCCAAGAGAAGACACAAAUCAAAUCCAGGGAGAUGCAGGGGAGGCCCAAUGUCUGACGAUGCAAGGAACCCAGCAAAACAAUCUCCUGGGACACAGGUAGAAGAGGCAGGGUCAGAAGCCAAAGCACAUUUGUGCUGGAGCCAGAAGGAUAAGAGCCCAUCACCAUCCUGACAGGAAAGCAUGGCAGCAGGCGGGUAUGGCAAUCAAACAGCAAGCUGAGAGCCGAGAGCUGAGAGCUCACAUCUUAAACCACGGAUGGGAAGCAGAGAGAACUUGAAGUGGUGAGAGUCUCUGAACUUGGAAAAUCUGUCCCCAGUGAUGUGCUUCCUCCAGCAAGGCCACACCUCCCAAGCCUCCCUAAGCAGUGCCAAUAACCAAGUAUUCAAAAGCCAAAGGCCAUGGAGACAUCUGUCAUUCUAACCACAGUUCCUGAUUAGUCAGCCAUGUUCCAGUGAUGGCUUCACACCUAUUCGUACCGAGCAGCACAAAUUAGAUGGUAUAAAAAAAAAUCUUUUAAGGACAUGAAGCUGGGGAGAGGGUAAAGGGUGGAUCUGGGAGAAGUUAGAGAGAGGACUGGGAAUGAGUAUGAUCAAAUAUAUUGUAAGCCUUAUGAAAUGCUCAAAGAAUAACAAUCAUAUUUUGAAGAAAUGCUGGACCCCUGAAGGUUAUGCUCACCUCCCAUUUCUCAGUGUGCUCUUGAUGCCAGCACAAGCUUCUUUCAGGUCACUUCACCCCAGUGUCUUCUAAUCUGUCCCGAUUUUGUUUUGAGUGCCAUGUAUACUGAACCUCUUUGAAAAGUUCUCCAGUUGUGAAAGUGGCCUAUCACCCUGUGUGACAGACCUUUUCUUGGAGCUAAGUGCCUAACUUGGGGUGAAAAACAAUCUCUGAAAUUAAAACCAGCAUGGCAGAUGGCAGAUACAUUUAUCCGUUGGGGCCAAAUCUACUAGCUACCUAUAUACUAUGUUGACAUAAAUUUGAAAGACUCAGACAAUCUAAACAAGAAAGAAUACUGGCCUGAGUGUGUGUAUGUGAGUGUAUUGUGUGUGUGUGUGUGUGUGUGUGUGUGUGUUUAGAGAGACAGUGUGUGUGUG